rnacentral:tRNA from 1 species
GCUUGGCUGGCUCAGUUAGUAGAGUAUGCAACUCUUAAUCUCAGGGUCAUGAGUUCAAGCCCCAUGUUGGGCG